rnacentral:lncRNA from 1 species
UGUGAGUUGACUGAAUCCCAGAAAUAUUCUGGCUGCUGCACAUUAUUAAUAUCCAAAUAUGUUUUUUCUCUUGGGAUUCUUCUGAAUGCUCCACUGAAAAGAAGAAGCAGUGCCUAAACAGGGCCUUUUCCCCUUCUCCUUUCCCUUGAAGAAUAGGUUCCUUUUACCCUUCUCACAAUACUACAUUAAGUUCAAGCUGAGUCACCUAUCUCCACAAACUGGUCAUGGGAUAAAGCAGGAGAAUGGCACAGUGCCUACGGAAUCAGAAUGGUUCCCCAUCUUUGUCUGCAGCAGAAAAGGCUCAGGGUGAGGCAGGAAGAGAGAACAGAUCCUGUAAGGUAAUUCUGUCGCUCACCUCAUCUUCAUAAUCUUUCCUUGGCUUCCUCUGCCUUC